rnacentral:piRNA from 1 species
UGGGAAACUGGGACUCUCUCCACA